rnacentral:lncRNA from 1 species
GGGCCACACCGUGGCAGAUGGAGGUUCCCAGGCUAGGGGUCCAAUUGGAACUGUAGCCACCGGCCUAUGCCAAAGUCACAGCAACACAGUAUCCAAGCUGCGUCUGCAACCUACACCACAGCUCACAGCAAUGCUGGAUCCUUAACCCACUGAGCAAACCCACGUCCUCAUGGAUGCUAGUCAGGUUCACUAACUGCUGAGUCACGACAGGAACUGCCCUCUCCUCCAGUUCAAAGAAGAGCAACCACUGGGUGAGAGACAGAAAUCAUGUACACAACUGACCCUGCACUGAACACUAGGUUAAUAAACUCAUCUAUUCCUGGGGUAGGGCAAGAAACUUACUUGGGCCCAGAAUUUUGCAGUGAUGCCAAUACAAGGUCAGUCAUACCAACAGAGGAUAAGAAACUCACUGGCAAAAUAGCCUACUACUGACAUAAGGCAGAGUUUGUGUCAAAAGAACAGACACUGGGAGUUCCCGUUGUGGUGCAGUGGUUAACGAAUCCAACUAGGAACCAUGAGGUUGAGGGUUCGAUCCCUGCCCUUGCUCAGUGGGUUAACGAUCCGGCGUUGCCGUGAGCUGUGGUGUAGGUUGCAGACGCGGCUCGGAUCCGGCGUUGCUGUGGCUCUGGCCAGCUGACCUACACCACAGCCACAGCAACCCAUUUCUGAGCCGCAUGUAUGACCUACACCACAGCUCACAGCAACACUGGAUCCUUAACCCACUGAGCGGGGCCAGGGAUCGGACCCAGGUCCUCAUGGAUACAACUCAGGUUUGUUAACAGCUGAGCCGUGACGGGAACUCCACACCUGGUGUACUCUUCAAGAAAGGGAUGAUAAAGAAGAGUGUCACAGAAAGCUGGCAAGGUGUGUGUGUGUGACAUGGAAAGAGUUAUACUGAUGAGCUAGUUUGAGUCUGUUCCUUUGCUCCUGCAAGCGUAGAGUAUGGAAGCAGUGUGUGAAAAAAAAAAAUGUUUGUUUCUUAACCGGAGAAAACGUAGCUGGGGAGAAAUUAUGUCAAUUAUUAGUGUUGGUAAUUUUCUCAAAAAUGUGUUUUAAAAAAAUGUACGUGGCAGAAAAUGUGUGCAUAUAAAUAAAACAUGUGCAAUAAAUUUGCAAAUACCCAUUUAAGAUCUCCAUCAUCAACCUCUCUUAAUUGUGCAGUGUUGUGUUGCAACCACGUUUCAGUCUAACCAAGAGACCAAGCCAUAAAUCAGGCAUAGCUUAAUCAACAAAAUCUUGGCUUAACCAGGGAUUUGCAGUUCAAUAGACUGUUCUAAAUUAUAGUACAACAGCACAAAUUUAAUGAUUCCAUAAAAAAAAAUUUAAGGGCAUUUUUAAUGACCACUUGAUAGAAGUUUCAGUUGACUCACUGAAGAAGUAGCCUGGAGGUUUAUAAUCUCUAAAUAAUCCUUGUUGAUCUUUAUUUUCUAUUUUCUGUAAAUGAUCUUGGAAACUGUAUUUUCAUGUCGUUUUCUGUGGAAAAGCUCAGAUACUUCACCUGCAUUAUAUAAAUGUUAAUGUCAGUAGCUUUUAUACCAGCUACAGAGAGACUUUUUUUAAGAGUGACUUUCUCAAGGUCAUAGAGCAAAUCUCUAGUGAGACAGGAAUGGAAUUCAUGACCUUUGACUGCCAGAAGUUUUCUACCCACACUCGGAAAUUCCUUCUCCAUAAGUGUAAUUUAUAUGCUCACUUUGAGAGGCUGGAAAGUUCAUCCCUUUUAGGGCAGGGGGUGGGGGAUGGGGCUUGGUUUUCCUGCCAAAUCAAUUGCCACACCGGCACUGCAGAGUCUCACAAAGUGAUUUUUACCUAUGUUAUUUCAUCGUACCCUCACCACAACCCUGGAAACUGCAUAUUAUUUUUCCCAUUUUACAGACAUAGAGGAGUUAAGAAAUUGAACCAAGGUCAUCCAGAGUUAGUAAGCAAGAGAGCCUGACUCAAACGGCGCUAUCUCUGCCACUUAAAUCAGUGCUGAUUCCAGGAUGUACAAUCUUAGCAGAUACCCGAUUACGAAAUGAAUGAAGGUUUUCUUUACAGAUAUUUAUGCCAUUUUUUUACAAUCAUUUACCUUGGUUCUCAUUUAGGUCUGUGGGUUUGUUUUCUUUGGGGAACGGUUGAUUUCAGGUUUUGUUAGAAGUUUGCUUGUGAAACUAAAGUGGGAACACUACUACUAAAUAAAGAACUUGAAAAAAAAAAAAACAAAACAAACAAACUUUGCCUGUUUUCCUCCUUUUUUAUUCAAGUGGGUAGGGGGCUCUUUACCAUAAUUCAUGGUCAUCAUGUGAACGGUGUAGGUAUGGGGUGUAUACCAAUAUAACUAGAGAAUACAAAAACUCACAUUCAUAAAUACAAAAUAUUAUGUAAUAUAAUAAAUAUAAAUACUAUGCAUAUACACACAUCUAAAAUAGAGAAUAUAUUUAUAUAUGUAGUAUAUACAGAUAUAUCACGCCAGCAAUCAUUGCGAAAAGCCAUAUACACCGUUAAGCAUGGUGAAUGAAGCACAGGAAACACAAUCCCUGGAUGUGGAGGCCAGCAAAGCUGUAAUAGCGGCAGCUUCUAGUGCCUCUGAUGGGGGUGGGAAAUCUAUCCCAAAGCUCUGCAAUUUUUUUCCCCUCAUCUUCCACAUAGCAACACAGCAGCAAGGGCUUUCCGCUGCUGCAUCUGUCACUAAAAAGCAACACUGUUUGGACCCGUCCAAUUAUUACGCCUGUAAUA